UUAUUAAUUUUGCAGCAGAUAUACUAAAAUUAGGGUGAUACAGAAAAGAUUAGCAUGGCCCUUGCAGCAACAACAAAACCCAAACUACUUGGUAAAGUUUCCCCAAGUUU
rnacentral:snRNA from 1 species